GGAGUUUGGACCGUGUCUCAGUUCCAAUGUGGCCGAUCACCCUCUCAGGUCGGCUACCGAUCGUCGCUUUGGUGGGCCGUUACCUCACCAACUGGCUAAUCGGACGCGAGCCCACCCCUCACCGGAUUGCUCCUUUGACCCCUGCACCAUGCGAUGCUGUGGUCUUAUGCGGUAUUAGGACACCUUUCGGUAUUUUAUCCCCCUGUCAGGGAAAGGUUGCUCACGCGUUACUCACCCGUCCGCCGCUGAAACAUACAUCCGUCCGGCCGAAGCCUUCAGGUCGCAUGUCUCCGCUCGACUUGCAUGUGUUAGGCACGCCGCCAGCGUCG
rnacentral:rRNA from 1 species